AACGAACGCUGGCGGCAGGCCUAACACAUGCAAGUCGAGCGAAGCCUUCGGGCUUAGCGGCGGACGGGUGAGUAACGCGUGGGAACGUGCCCUUUGGUACGGAAUAGCCCCGGGAAACUGGGAGUAAUACCGUAUGUGCCCUUCGGGGGAAAGAUUUGUCGCCAAAGGAUCGGCCCGCGUUGGAUUAGGUAGUUGGUGGGGUAAUGGCCUACCAAGCCGACGAUCCAUAGCUGGUUUGAGAGGAUGAUCAGCCACACUGGGACUGAGACACGGCCCAGACUCCUACGGGAGGCAGCAGUGGGGAAUCUUAGACAAUGAGGGAAACCCUGAUCUAGCCAUGCCGCGUGAUCGAUGAAGGCCUUAGGGUUGUAAAGAUCUUUCAGUGGGGAAGAUAAUGACUGUACCCACAGAAGAAGCCCCGGCUAACUCCGUGCCAGCCGCCGCUGUAACAC
rnacentral:rRNA from 1 species